CAAGUCGCACGAGAAAGUGGAGCAAUCCAUGAGUAAAGUGGCGCACGGGUGAGUAACACGUGAAUCAUCUACCUCCGAGUGGGGAAUAACCUAGAGAAAUCUGGGCUAAUACCGCAUAACACUUACGAGUCAAAGCAGCAAUGCGCUUGGAGAGGAGUUCGCGGCCGAUUAGCUAGUUGGCGGGGUAAUGGCCCACCAAGGCGAUGAUCGGUAUCCGGCCUGAGAGGGCGCACGGACACACUGGAACUGAAACACGGUCCAGACUCCUACGGGAGGCAGCAGUGGGGAAUUUUGCGCAAUGGGGGAAACCCUGACGCAGCAACGCCGCGUGGAGGAUGAAAUCCCUUGGGAUGUAAACUCCUUUCGAUGGGGAAGAUUAUGGCGGUACCCAUAGAAGAAGCCCCGGCUAACUUCGUGCCAGCAGCCGCGGUAAUACGAGGGGGGCAAGCGUUGUUCGGAAUUAUUGGGCGUAAAGGGUGCGUAGGCGGUUUGACAAGUCUGAUGUGAAAUCUAUGGGCUCAACCCAUAGUCUGCAUCGGAAACUGUCGGGCUUGAGUAUGGGAGAGGUGAGUGGAAUUUCCGGUGUAGCGGUGAAAUGCGUAGAUAUCGGAAGGAACACCUGUGGCGAAAGCGGCUCACUGGACCAUUACUGACGCUGAGGCACGAAAGCUAGGGGAGCAAACAGGAUUAGAUACCCUGGUAGUCCUAGCCCUAAACGAUGAUCGCUUGAUGUGGCAGGUACCCAAUCCUGCCGUGUCGAAGCUAACGCGAUAAGCGAUCCGCCUGGGGAGUACGGUCGCAAGGCUGAAACUCAAAGGAAUUGACGGGGGCCCGCAGAAGCGGUGGAGCAUGUGGUUUAAUUCGACGCAACGCGAAGAACCUUACCUGGGCUCGAAAUGCACAGGAAUCCGGUAGAAAU
rnacentral:rRNA from 1 species